UGACACCACCUCAGUCUGCUAAGUGUGUUUUAAAGUGUACACUUCUAUUCUAGUGGACUUUACAGCGGCUCUUUCAGAACGAGGCGAUCUGAGUGGUGUCAUGGUGGGAGACGGUACAGCCAAACACCUCAGACUCUUCUCAGCGUUCUUUGCAGAGGGUCAGAGAGGUGCAGAGUUCUUCUGUGCUGGUCAGAACCCCCUCAUUCACCUCGGCACCAUCCAUGGUGCAGCUCAGCAGCGCCCCCUGUGGAGAAUAGGCUGAGAGGAGGCAGAGCAGCGAAGCCGAUCCCUCAGAGAGCUGCAGAGAGGAGGGAGGGAGCAGAGACACGGAGGAGUUCACCACUGGACCAGCUGGAGAACGAACACACACACACACACACACACAGUAAUCUUGGUUAUAUUUACAGAACACAACUUUCUGAGUAAAUAUUUCUUCAUUGGUUAUGUAGCAGGUGGAAUUGCAUUCUAUUUCAUAAUCCCCCUGGGAUUUGCCUGGAUUGGAGGAACAGGUUCACUUAAAUUAUGGGACGGGCUUUUAUUUGGUUAUAAUUAGACUGGAUUGAGGCCUUGGUAGCCCUGUUGUUUCCUUCUGCAUCACUUCCGACAGUCUGGGGGUUGAGUUGGUGACGUGGGGUACGCACUAGCUGGUGCUCCUCGCUACAAAUGAGUGUUUGUCCUCACAUUGUUUUUCCUGCCAUGAUUGCUCGUAGUCUAGCUGGUUGCUGUAGUAUUCAAGUUAUUGCGGACUGAAGCAUUUGCGAGGAGGGACGUAACUUUGGGGAAAACGCAAACUCCAGGAAGAAAAGACAGAUGCAGAGUCCCAUGAUUGCGGAAACAGUACGCCGUCUUCACAACUCGGAGACAAACACUAGGCGAUACGAGCCGGCACAAGGACUAACUUCGCCUCAUAACGAAGCCGUGACAAGCUAUUUAGUGCGGGCUUUGUCGACAAAUCCAAAUCUUCAUGAUGCUGACAAAGACAACAUUGUGUCUGCCUGCAAGACGUAUUACAAAACCUUACGCAGGAGCUACAGGUACCAGCAGCCUGAUCUUUCAUUGCAGGCAGAAGCAAUGAAGUAGCCGGCUCACAGUCGCUCCAGAAGAAAGAGGCUGUUUGACGUGAGACGAGGUGUCCUUGCUAUGGACAAGAUGGAUGUAUGGCAGUGUGCUACCGUAGACCUGAUGUCGGAUGAGGAAAAUGGGGUGGUGGAUGGGGUGUCUGGGUGGAUCGUUAAGCCUCCGCCGUCCCGUAACCCGGAGCUCAGUGAACUCUGUGCUACGCUGCAAUCAAGGCUUGAGGCAGAUCCAACGUACAGGGCAACCCACCACAGAUGACUGCACGUCGGUCCGAUGCCGCCUGCUCCCCACAGCUCAGAGACCGCAAGCAUGCAUUUCAUGGAGCUGUAGGACUAAAAUACGGUGCUUAUUUGCUUUUGUUUAGUUUUGUAUCCUGCACAUCUCUCUUGCACUAGAGAAUGUAUAGGCAACUACUGUUUGUCUUUGACUG